GACGAACGCUGGCGGCGUGCUUAACACAUGCAAGUCGAACGGUGAAGGGGUCUGCUUUUGUGGGCCCUGGAUGAGUGGCGAACGGGUGAGUAACACGUGAGUAACCUGCCCCCUUCUUCUGGAUAACCGCAUGAAAGUGUGGCUAAUACGGGAUAUUCUGGGUCUGUCGCAUGAUGGGUCUGGGAAAGAUUGCGCCUUUGGGUGUUUUUGGUGGGGGAUGGGCUCGCGGCCUAUCAGCUUGUUGGUGGGGUGAUGGCCUACCAAGGCGGUGACGGGUAGCCGGCCUGAGAGGGUGGACGGUCACACUGGGACUGAGACACGGCCCAGAGUCCUACGGGAGGCAGCAGUGGGGAAUAUUGCACAAUGGGCGCAAGCCUGAUGCAGCGACGCCGCGUGAGGGAUGGAGGCCUUCGGGUUGUAAACCUCUUUCGCCAGUGAAGCAGGCCUGCUCCUUGUGGGUGGGUUGACGGUAGCUGGAUAAGAAGCGCCGGCUAACUACGUG
rnacentral:rRNA from 1 species